AGAGUUUGAUCAUGGCUCAGGAUGAACGCUAGCGGCAGGCUUAACACAUGCAAGUCGAGGGGCAGCACGGGUAGCAAUAUCUGGUGGCGACCGGCGCAAGGGUGCGUAACGCGUGAGCAACAUGCCCGUAUCAGGGGAAUAAUCCAGGGAAACUUGGUCUAAUACCCCAUAGUAAAUAUUAAAGGCAUCUUUAAUAUUUUAAAGCUUCGGUGGAUACGGAUUGGCUCGCGUGACAUUAGCUAGAUGGUAAGGUAACGGCUUACCAUGGCUACGAUAUCUAGGGGUUCUGAGAGGAAGAUCCCCCACACUGGAACUGAGACACGGUCCAGACUCCUACGGGAGGCAGCAGUGAGGAAUAUUGGACAAUGGAUGGAAAUCUGAUCCAGCCAUGCCGCGUGCAGGAAGACGGCCCUAUGGGUUGUAAACUGCUUUUAUAUGGGAGCAAUAAGACCUACGUGUAGGUUGAUGAGAGUACCAUAUGAAUAAGCACCGGCUAACUCCGUGCCAGCAGCCGCGGUAAUACGGAGGGUGCAAGCGUUAUCCGGAUUUAUUGGGUUUAAAGGGUGCGUAGGCGGUUUGAUAAGUCAGCGGUGAAAUAUUUCAGCUUAACUGGAAGGGUGCCGUUGAUACUGUCAGGCUUGAAUUUAGUUGCUGUGGGUGGAAUGUGUGGUGUAGCGGUGAAAUGCAUAGAUAUCACACAGAAUAUCGAUUGCGAAGGCAGCUCACAAAGCUAAUAUUGACGCUGAUGCACGAAAGUGUGGGGAUCAAACAGGAUUAGAUACCCUGGUAGUCCACACUGUAAACGAUGAUAACUCGCUGUCGGCGAUACAUAGUCGGUGGCCAAGCGAAAGCGAUAAGUUAUCCACCUGGGGAGUACGACCGCAAGGUUGAAACUCAAAUGAAUUGACGG
rnacentral:rRNA from 1 species